CCUACGGGUGGCAGCAGUAAGGGAUAUUGGUCAAUGGGGGAAACCCUGAACCAGCGACGCCGCGUGAGGGAAGACGGUUUUCGGAUUGUAAACCUCUGUCCUCUGGGAAGAUGAUGACAGUAGCAGAGGAGGAAGCACCGGCUAACUACGUGCCAGCAGCCGCGGUAAUACGUCGGGAGCGAGCGUUGUCCGGAUUUACUGGGUGUAAAGGGUGCGUAGGCGGGUUGGCAAGUCAGGAGUGAAAACCAUGGGCUUAACCCAUGAACUGCUAUUGAAACUGUCGAGCUUGAGUGAGGUAGAGGUAGGCGGAAUGCGCGGUGUAGCGGUGAAAUGCGUAGAGAGCGGGAGGAACACCAGUGGCGAAGGCGGCCUGCUGGGCUUUAACUGACGCUGAGGCACGAAAGCGUGGGUAGCAAACAGGAUUAGAUACCCCUGUAGUC
rnacentral:rRNA from 1 species